GUCUUCUUUGGGAGGAAAUAUAGUUCCAAAUGCAUCCACCUGGCUGACAAUCUUAACUGGGGCUUAUUUUCGGGGUGGGGCUUAUAUUAUGAGCAUCCUGAAAAACCAUGCUAAGGCUUAUUUUCCAGGUGGGUCUUAUUUUCAGAGAAACCA